rnacentral:rRNA from 1 species
GAUGAACGCUGGCGGCGUGCCUAAUACAUGCAAGUCGAGCGAACAGACGAGGAGCUUGCUCCUCUGACGUUAGCGGCGGACGGGUGAGUAACACGUGGAUAACCUACCUAUAAGACUGGGAUAACUUUGGGAAACCGGAGCUAAUACCGGAUAAUAUAUUGAACCGCAUGGUUCAAUAGUGAAAGACGGUUUUGCUGCCACUUAUAGAUGGAUCCGCGCCGCAUUAGCUAGUUGGUAAGGUAACGGCUUACCAAGGCAACGAUGCGUAGCCGACCUGAGAGGGUGAUCGGCCACACUGGAACUGAGACACGGUCCAGACUCCUACGGGAGGCAGCAGUAGGGAAUCUUCCGCAAUGGGCGAAAGCUUGACGGAGCAACGCCGCGUGAGUGAUGAAGGUCUUCGGAUCGUAAAACUCUGUUAUUAGGGAAGAACAAAUGUGUAAGUAACUAUGCACGUCUUGACGGUACCUAAUCAGAAAGCCACGGCUAACUACGUG